UUGUGGUUCGAGCUAUAUAACAAGAUAGCUUGUCCGUCUGUCAUUUUGUAACUUAUUUUUGUGCUAAAAUAGUAUAAAGCAUGUUGCAGUUGCGGUGUGGUAAAAGAAUUGAGCUUCUAUGCUUUUAAAAGUACCAAGUCAUUGGUGCUUGUAAGUUUUCGGCCCUUGGAUUAAAGAAUGUACGGUUAGGAUGAUGUGGGCCCCCUAGGGUUGAGUGGGUGGUUGGUUGAAUAGUAUAAUUUAACGGAUAAAAAUGAUCAAAGGCAGGGAUCUAACGAUAAAAAAUUUACAAGCACCAAAUAUUUCAUAUUUUUAUAAGCACCAUAGCCGACUCGUGGUAAAACAUUAAUAGGAGUGAUAUACAAAAUUUGAAAUAUUGGUUCAUACGUAUCACACCAAAUAAUUUAUAGAUGCUUUUGCGGGGAAUCCAAAGCAUUUUGAUGUGAAUAGAGAACAUGAAAGAGGCCUUGAAUAAGUAUAAGUUGAUUAACAUUAAUUCCAAAGAAAAGCUCAAAGAAAUAAUCCUAGGGUGUGUUUGGUUCGCACUAUCUUUUAAAUAUUUCUAGUAAUCUAAUAGGAAUAAAAAAAAUAUGACAGUAUUUGGCUAAACGCACUAAGUAAUCUAGUUGGUAAUAUUGAAUUUACUUGGGAAUAAGAUUCAUUCCAAAGUACUAAUCUCAUUCCCUUGAGGAAGGGUGGGUAUCCUAUAAUAUGGAUUGCAGUAAUCAUAAUAUGUCUAAUAUCUUUCUUUCUCCCUACCCGUCAGCUAAUUGGUAUUAUUUUUCUUUACACUAUAACCUCAUAUCUUUCUCUAAACUUAUCUUUCUCUCUCAAAUUUAACACUUUUUCUCUCUCUAAACUAAGCUUUUUUUUUCCCUCUUUUUCUAAAAUCUCAACUCUCUCACUCCCUCUAAUUUCGACUAUAUUUUUCUUACUAUUUUUUUAAUUAUGCUCUCUCUUUCUAACCUAUGAUCUCUCUCUUUUUUCUAAAAAAAUAUUAAAAUUUUUGGUAGAUUAUCUAAAAUUAAUUUAAAAAAUAAAUAAAUUAAUUGUAUAUUUUUUGUAAUCUUAAAUAAUAUGGCUAAAUAAUAUGACCGUGCGAACCAAACACAGAAAUUUCACAUUCUUAGUAAUAAAAUAAAUAGAAAUAAAAUUCUCGGACAUCUUUUCAUUCCUAAUAAUCUUUCAUAAUGCGAACCAAACGCACCCUUAUUAUAAUCUUGUUUGUCUCAGCUU
rnacentral:lncRNA from 1 species